GAAAUAUGAUUAUCAAAUAAUAGCCGCUAACUAAUUAUUUUAAUGGUUAAAUUCCAUUAAUAUUUCU
rnacentral:tRNA from 1 species